rnacentral:rRNA from 1 species
UACGUAUGGAGCAAGCGUUAUCCGGAUUUACUGGGUGUAAAGGGUGCGUAGGCGGCACAGCAAGUCAGAUGUGAAAGACCGGGGCUCAACCCCGGGGCUGCAUUUGAAACUGCCGAGCUUGAGUCCGGGAGAGGCAGGCGGAAUUCCUAGUGUAGCGGUGAAAUGCGUAGAUAUUAGGAGGAACACCGGUGGCGAAGGCGGCCUGCUGGACUGUAACUGACACUGAGGCUCGAAAGCGUGGGGAGCAAACAGG